AGACCCUUCUGACCCCUGGAUCUAGCAAGUGUUAAAAUAUAAGCCAGGCUAGCUUCCUGCAUUGAGGUGAUAGCCUGGGUGAUGAGCCAUUAUGGGAAACAAAGGAAAGGGGCAAUACUCAGUAUUUACAGCGUACACAUUAUCAGUGUUAGAUUCUGACUAGCCCAAAGGGUCUGAGCAAGUUCCUUUUUGCAUAGGUAGAAACCCAUUUUUAAACGGGUAAGAAAUUAGCAUGCAAAAAAAUGCCUUUUCUUAAGAAGAAACUUUUCCUUAUAGCACGUAGCUGGAAAUGCUGCUGCUGCUGUUGCAUUUUUAAAAAUGGGUUUCUAUUGGGGUAGAGCAGGAGACUCUUAAUCUCAAGGCCGUGGAUUCGUGCCCCAUGUUGGGCAAAAGAUUCCUGCAUCGCUGUUGGUUAGGCUAGAUGAGCCUCGUGGUCCCUUCCAAUGUUACUAUGAUUCUAUGAAAAGUGUGAACCUGCUCAAGCUCUUGUUGCAGGGUGGGGACCCUCAGUCCCUGAGACCAAAUGUGGCCCUCCAGUCCUCUCUUACCUGGCCCUCAGAACUCUCCCCAGACCACACCUCCUUACUCUCCCUGCUUCACAGCCCCAAGUGUUUUUGUCUGCUGGAAUGCGUCCCUGAACUCUGAUAAUUUAUCUUGCUUGAAUGUUAGGUGAACUGAAAGCAGUGUUGCCGAAGACAAGGAUAUAUCUUUAUCUAUAAACAUAGGCUCCUUCACUUGCAGUGGGAAAUGGUAUUGUCAAGCAAGAGCUCCAUCAUGGAAGAUUGCCAAUUGUGCAGCUCUGCUUAUUGAGGGAUACUUUUGAUCUAAUCCGGUAUUUAAAAGAAGGAUAGUAAUUUCAGGAACAGAAGGAUGGAGGACCCAGAAACCUGAACAGCAGAAUCCAGAAAUCUGAAGCAAGUGGACACUAUUUAAUUUCACCAAGGUCAACCAACUGGAAAAGCCAAUGUAAAAUACCAAGUACGUAUACUGAAUUUGAAGCACCAAUGUACUUACUAAAGGCUCUUCCCAAUUUUUACUUCUUCCAUUUCUUUUGCUACAUAAUUUGCAGAAAUUAAUGAUUUAAACAUUCUCUUCCUGUGUUUAUAUUGUUCUACAUUUAGGAAACUAGCAAAUGUAUUCAGUUACCUAGGUCUGGGAAACAAAAGAACAGCUUGAGCAUCCACCUUGGAGAAUAAUUUAUUGAUAAAAAGCAUUCAUAAAAGGGUUGUGGGUUGCUACGUGAAACUAUACAACACUGCAUGACAAGGUAUUGACUUGUUUAGCUGAAAUGGGCCUGUCAAGUUCAAGCCACGUGAUGAGGGUUAGCUCCAGAGCAGUGCUUCAAAGGGGAAAAGAGCUUGAAAUGUCUUAAGUAUCAAAAUGAUUUUCAAAACAUACCUAAGGCUGCAAUCCUUAGGGGGUGCGAAACAUUUUCUGGUUUCCCCCACUGAACAGAGAGUGGGACUUACUUUUUCAAUAGACAUGAACAGCACUGCAUUAUUAGGUUUCCAUUGUUAAAUAAGGAUUUUUAAUAGAAUCCUUAGAAUACACAACAAUGUUGCACGUUAUUGUUGAAUUAGAUGCCUGAAGCAAGAGCAGCUGGGCAGGCUAGGAUCCGCCCAUAUUUUAAUGAGAAUGAUGUCAUAAGUGACCACUUCCAAGAACUCUAAAUUUUUACAGCUAUGCCACAAGCAUGCAUUUACUCAGUUACCAAAGUUCCCUGUUUUUACAAGUAUAAACUGGGUGUUUGCAUUUCAUUUCUGCAAAAA